AUGGCCCUGGUGUGCCGAACCUCCGGGUUCGAUUUCGGGCAAUUUGCAAAGGGCUGGGUCCGCCAGAGGCCCGGGAAGGGGCUGGAAUUCAUCGCGACGAUCACCAACACCGGUGGUGGCACCUGGUUCGCGCCGUCGGUGCGGGGCCGGUUCAGGAUCUCCAGGGAAAACGGGCAGAGCUCGGUGACGCUGACCAUGAACAGCCUCAAGGACGAGGAUUCCGGCUCCUAUUUCUGCGCCAAAUCUGCUGCGACUGAUGCUCAUUAUGAUAAUGUUGAUGCUUUUGGUCCCUUCCCCUCCUGUCCCCAAAUCUCCCCCAGGCCCUUCUCCCAAACUCCGAUCAGCAGCCAUCAGCGUUUUUGGCGAAAUUGA